AGCUGUAAGUAAAAAUCCUGUUGCUUCAGCAGGUCUAACCAGUUUCGUAAAGGGCUUAUAUUUUCUGUAAUGCUACUUCAGGCAGCAAACUUUAAACAGAUUUUUGUUUAAAUAACAUUUAAUGCAAUUCAUGUCGUUAUUCAUUGAAAUUAUUUGGAACAAGAAUUUUUAGCAAAAUUAUAUUUCACUUACAGAUAAAUCCUAUCUUGAAAACUCUUUUGUCAAACAGAUCUCCCUGAAAGCAAUGCUAACACAGCAACUGUGGUGCUGCUUAGAAGGUUGAAUUUCUGUGAAUAUCCAACAAAAUCAUUUUGGCUGUCUCCAAGAGAGCACUAUGUGAGCCAGCUGUCCUGGAUUCCUCCUGCUGUCAACAGUUAAGCAGCAGGCUCUGUUUGAUGUGGUAGUGUCACACAUUACUCAAGUUUUGAACUUAUGGAUAUGAUCAAAUCCAUCUGCCAAUGGAUUUCACAGAAUCACAGCAUCUUGGGACAGAUCUCCAGAAGCCAUCUGAACUAACUCCCUGCUCAAGCCAGAACACAUAGAACCUGUUGCCAGGACCAUGUCUAAAGGGCUUUUGAAUACCUUCAAUGAUGGAGACUCCAUAACUUCCCCAGGCAACCUGUGCUAGUGCUUGGUCUUCCUCCCAAUAAAAAAUCAUUUUCUGGUGUUCA
rnacentral:lncRNA from 1 species